CGGCCCCUCCCACGCGGACAGAGGUCAGCCUGAGCCCCUUGCCUCACACCGGCCCCUCCCACGCUGAGAGAGGUCAGUGUGAGCCCCUGCCUCAACAGGCCACCGUGAGGGAGGAGCAGGGUCGCACGCGGGCUGCUGGGAGGUAGGCAGGGACUUGGGCCUGGGAGGUCGCGGUGGGGCGAGAGCUGGGCCUGGAGACUCCCCUGGGAGGCAACAGCGGGGUCUGCAGACACCCUUCUCCAGCUGGAGCUGGGACUGUUCAGUCACUGGGAGAAGGGAUGUGGGUCUGAAGAGCUUGGUUGCAGAAACUUCGGGGUCUACAAAGGCCGGCGGGAGCUGAGCCAAAAGAGCUUGUUUGCUGGGAGGCGGGAGAUGCAGCCAGGAGGAACAGCUGGGCCAUGCGGGAGGCAGAGGCCGGGCCUCCUCAAGUCGGCCUCUCAGACCCACUUGCAGCCUCCCAGCGUCCUCUCCGGGCCCAGCUCUUCCUCCCGGCUGCGUCUCCAGGCCGGACUCUGGCCCGACUCCAGGUCCCAACAACGUCUUUGGACUCAGCUCCUGCCCAGCUCCCAGAGGCCCUGGUAGGCCCACAACUUCCCUAAGCCAAGCUCCCCAGGCCCAGCUCAGGCCUCACGGUGGCCUCUCCAGGCUCAGCUCCUGCCCUCCGAUGGCAUCUGCAGGCCCCAAACGGCCUCCGGUUGGUGGGCUUCUCUAGGCCCAGCUUGGGCCUCCCGGUGGCCUCUGCAGGCCCAAAUCGUCCCGAAGUCGGCCUCUCCAGGCCCAGCUCCGGCCUCCCAGCGGCCUCUGCAGGCCCAAGUCGUCCUCAAGUCGGCCUGGAAGUGGGCCUGGAAGAGCAGCAAGUCGGCCUCCCCGGGCCCAGCUCCGUCCUCUCGGCGGCCUCUCCAGGUGCAAAACUUCCUCGAGUCAGCCUCUCCAGGCCCAGCUCUUCCUGCCUCCCAGUGGCCUCUUUCGGCCCAGCCCAGUUCAUGGCUCUCGGCGGCCUUCCCAGGCCCCGCUUUUGACUUUUGGCAGCCUCUUCAGGCGCAGAACUUGAUCUCCAGUCGGCCUUUGCAGGCCCGGCCUCCUGCCUCUCAAAGGCCUGCACGGGCCUGGCCUUGGCCUUGGCCUCACAGUGGACUCUCCACGCCCAGCUAGCUCUCGCCUCACUGCGGCCUCCCCCGUCCAAAGCUCCUGCCUUUCGGCCACUUCGGCAGGUCCAGCUACUGCCUGCCAGUGGCCUCUUUAGGCCAAGCUCAUUCCUCACAACGGCCUUUCCAGGCCCCGUUUUUCCCUUCCGGCAGCCUCUUGGCCUCUAAUUUGUUUAUCUUUUGUGUAUAAAUCCCAAAAUAUGGAAUUUUGGAAUAUUUCCACCAUUAUAUAUUUUGGUAGGUAAUUUAUUUGGAGUGAGUUUCUGCACCAUGCCCGAACUUUUUGUUUUAUUUUCCUUAUUAUUUGGUGUUAAACAGGUUUAAUGACGGUCAUGGCAACUUUUUGGCACAAUGAAAAAUAUCGCCCAUGAUCAACGUGUUCUGUUCUGGGGAAGGGGGCAAAGGCAGGGUGAAUCACUUUCUUAAAAAGUAUAGCUCAAGUUGGGAGUGCAGAGGGAAUGGGGAGAAAACCCUUCCGCUGCCUGUGUCGAAGUGCAGGAGCCCCCACCCCCAUACUCACCUGAGUCCAGCCCCUCUGGGGAAAGAAGGGGUGCAUGAACUCCCCUUAGUCCACAGGCGCCUCCCUGUGGCCCAAGGCCCUCUUCACACUCCAUCUUGUAGCCCCAGCAGGAGCUAUUUUCCGAAAAGUGAAAAGCUCUGAAGGUCCCACAAUUCAUGGUAUGUACAGGGGCUCGGAGGAGGGAAACUGCCCAGCUUUCCCCCGGCACAGCUGCAGGGGUAGGGGGUAUAGAUAAGAGGAGCAGGCCUUGGCCAGGCGUGGUGGCUCACGCCUGUAAUCCCAG
rnacentral:lncRNA from 1 species